rnacentral:rRNA from 1 species
AGCAGCCGCGGUAAUUCCAGCUCCAAUAGCGUAUAUUAAAGUUGUUGCAGUUAAAAAGCUCGUAGUUGAAUUUCGGGAUCAACAUGCCGGUCGUGCCUCCGGUACGUACUGGUAUCGUUGAUUUCUACCUUCUGACGAAUCACGAUGUCAUUAAUUUGGUGUCGUGGGGAAUCAGGGCUGUUACUUUGAAAAAUUAGAGUGUUUAAAGCAGGCACACGCUUGAAUACAUUAGCAUGGAAUAAUGAAAUAGGACGUUUGACCCUAUUUUGUUGGUUUCUAGGAUCGACGUAAUGAUUAAUAGGGAUAGUUGGGGGCAUUAGUAUUCAAUUGUCAGAGGUGAAAUUCUUGGAUUUAUUGAAGACUAACUACUGCGAAAGCAUUUGCCAAGGAUGUUUUCAUUAAU